rnacentral:rRNA from 1 species
CAGCCGCCGCGGGAAUACGGAGGGGGCUAGCGUUGUUCGGAAUUACUGGGCGUAAAGCGCACGUAGGCGGCUUGGUAAGUUAGAGGUGAAAGCCUGGAGCUCAACUCCAGAAUUGCCUUUAAGACUGCCGAGCUAGCAGGUGAGAGAGGUAAGUGGAAUUCCGAGUGUAGAGGUGAAAUUCGUAGAUAUUCGGAAGAACACCAGUGGCGAAGGCGGCCAUCUGGGACAACACUGACGCUGAGGCACGAAAGCGUGGGGAGCAAACAGGAUUAGAUACCCGUGUAGUCCCUGUCUCUUAUAC